UUUUGCAUCAUGCUGUUCGAUGGUGUAGUAUAUUACUCUUUACCGAAAAGGUUUGAUUUUUAAUUCAAUUGGUUAGUAUUUAUUAUCGGGUAGAGUAAAAAAUUGAUUUAACGUUGUGAUAAAUUAGUCGUUUUCUUUUAUAUCUGUUUAUUAUCUUAAGUUUCUGUUUAUCCACAGGGCAGGGAGGUCCUGUGGACGUGUAUAUACUGUAAUAUAAUGGCUCGAUUUAAUAGGGUUAAAAAUACCCCUUUAUUAGAGUUUUGUUAUAAUUUAUUUUAAACUUAUUGAGGUAUUACUACUUAAAAGAUAAUUAUAUUUAAUAGUUUGUUAUAUUUAUGAUACAAUGAGUAAUAAAAUAAAUUAUAUUGUUUCUCAAGCAUAUUCCGUCUGUUUAUUAAAAACAUUUCUAUAUUGAAUUAUAUAUAGUAGGGCCUGCUCGAUGUUUGAUUAUCAAUGGCCGCAGUAUUUUGACUGUGCGAAGGUAGCAUAAUUAAUUGCCUCUUAAUUGGGGGCUUGUUUGAAUGGUUUGACGUGGUUAUUGUUAACAUUAUUUUUGUUUUUGAAAUUAAUUUUGAGGGCACAGAAUCCUCUUGAUUUAAUUAGACGGAAAGACCCCGGGAUCUUUUAAUUUUGCCUGGGGCAGGUUAUAUUUUUUCAAAUUUUAUAUCUUGAACCUAUUUUGGGUUUAUUGGUGUAAGUUACCCCGGGGAUAACAGUGUAAUAAUUUAUUAGAGAUCUUAUCGAUUAAAUUGUUUGCCACCUCGAUGUUGACUUAGGUUAAUGAUGGGGCGCAGUAGUUCUAUCAUGUGGUCUGUUCGACCUUAAUUACCUCCAUGAGUUGAGUUAAGACCGGCGUGAGCCAGGUCGGUUCUUAUCUAUU
rnacentral:rRNA from 1 species